rnacentral:rRNA from 1 species
AAUGUAGGCGGUUUUGCAAGUCAGGGGUGAAAUCCCUCAGCUUAACUGAGGAAGUGCCUUUGAAACUGCAUAACUAGAGAACAGGAGAGGAAAGUGGAAUUCCCGGUGUAGCGGUGGAAUGCGUAGAUAUCGGGAGGAACACCAGAGGCGAAGGCGGCUUUCUGGACUGAUCCUGACGCUGAGAUUCGAAAGCUAGGGGAGCAAACAGGAUUAGAUACCCUGGUAGUCCC